AUUCAAUCCAAUACUAUACAGACAGACAUAGGCUGAGAUUCAAUCCAAUACUACACAGACAGACAUAGGCUGGGAUUCAAUCCAAUACUAUACAGACAGACAUAUGCUGGGAUUCAAUCCAAUACUGUAUAGACACAUAGGCUGGGAUUCAAUCCAAUACUGUAUAGACACACAUAGGCUGGGAUUCAAUCCAAUACUGUAUAGACACACAUAGGCUGGGAUUCAAUCCAAUACUGUAUAGACACACAUAGGCUGGGAUUCAAUCCAAUACUGUAUAGACACACAGGCUGGGAUUCAGUCCAAUACUGUAUAGACACAUAGGCUGGGAUUCAAUCCAAUACUGUAUAGACACACAUAGGCUGGGAUUCAAUCCAAUACUGUAUAGACACACAGGCUGGGAUUCAGUCCAAUACUGUAUAGACACAUAGGCUGGGAUUCAAUCCAAUACUGUAUAGACACACAGGCUGGGAUUCAGUCCAAUACUGUAUAGACACAUAGGCUGGGAUUCAAUCCAAUACUGUAUAGACACACAGGCUGGGAUUCAGUCCAAUACUGUACAGACACACAGGCUGGGAUUCAAUCCAAUACUGUAUAGACACACAGGCUGGGAUUCAGUCCAAUACUGUAUAGACACACAGGCUGGGAUUCAGUCCAAUACUGUACAGACACACAGGCUGGGAUUCAAUCCAAUACUGUAUAGACACACAGGCUGGGAUUCAGUCCAAUACUGUAUAGACACACAGGCUGGGAUUCAAUCCAAUACUGUAUAGACACACAGGCUGGGAUUCAGUCCAAUACUGUAUAGACACAUAGGCUGGGAUUCAAUCCAAUACUGUAUAGACACAUAGGCUGGGAUUCAAUCCAAUACUGUAUAGACACACAUAGGCUGGGAUUCAAUCCAAUACUGUAUAGACACAUAGGCUGGGAUUCAAUCCAAUACUGUAUAGACACACAGGCUGGGAUUCAAUCCAAUACUGUAUAGACACACAUAGGCUGAGAUUCAGUCCAAUACUGUAUAGACACACACAGGCUGAGAUUCAAUCCAAUACUGUAUAGACACACACAGGCUGGGAUUCAAUCCAGUACUGUAUAGACACACAGGCUGGGAUUCAAUCCAAUACUGUAUAGACACACAUAGGCUGAGAUUCAGUCCAAUACUGUAUAGACACACAUAGGCUGGGAUUCAAUCCAAUACUGUAUAGACACACACAGGCUGGGAUUCAGUCCAAUACUGUAUAGACACACAGGCUGGGAUUCAAUCCAAUACUGUAUAGACACACACAGGCUGGGAUUCAAUCCAAUACUGUAUAGACACACAUAUGCUGAGAUUCAAUCCAAUACUGUAUAGACACACACAGGCUGAGAUUCAAUCCAAUACUGUAUAGACACACAUAGGCUGAGAUUCAAUCCAAUACUGUAUAGACACACAUAGGCUGGGAUUCAGUCCAAUACUGUAUAGACACACAGGCUGAGAUUCAAUCCAAUACUGUAUAGACACACAUAGGCUGGGAUUCAGUCCAAUACUGUAUAGACACACAGGCUGGGAUUCAAUCCAAUACUGUAUAGACACACAUAUGCUGAGAUUCAAUCCAAUACUGUAUAGACACACAGGCUGGGAUUCAGUCCAAUACUGUACAGACACACAGGCUGGGAUUCAAUCCAAUACUGUAUAGACACACACAGGCUGGGAUUCAAUCCAGUACUGUAUAGACACACAGGCUGGGAUUCAAUCCAAUACUGUAUAGACACACAUAGGCUGAGAUUCAGUCCAAUACUGUAUAGACACACACAGGCUGAGAUUCAAUCCAAUACUGUAUAGACACACACAGGCUGGGAUUCAAUCCAAUACUGUAUAGACAGACAGGCUGGGAUUCGUAAGGUCGCUAGUUCAACUCCAGGAGCAGACAAGGUGAAACAUUUGUCUGUGUGCCCUUGAGCAAGGCACUUCACCUCAAUGGCUUCAGGGAUGUCAUUGAUCAUGUCUGACCCUGUCUAAAGAUCCCAGCUCUCUGUGGGUGUUGAUAAUGUCUGACCCUGUCUAAAGACUCCAGCUCUCUGUGGGUGUUGAUAAUGUCUGACCCUGUCUAAAGACCCAGCUCUCUGUGGGUGUUGAUAAUGUCUGACCCUGUCUAAAGACUCCAGCUCUCUGUGGGUGUUGAUAAUGUCUGACCCUGUCUAAAGACUCCAGCUCUCUGUGGGUGUUGAUAAUGUCUGACCCUGUCUAAAGACCCCAGCUCUCUGUGGGUGUUGAUAAUGUCUGACCCUGUCUAAAGACCCCAGCUCUCUGUGGGUAUUGAUAAUGUCUGACCCUGUCUAAAGACUCCAGCUCUCUGUGGGUGUUGAUAAUGUUUGACCCUGUCUAAAGACCCCAGCUCUCUGUGGGCAUUGAUAAUGUCUGACCCUGUCUAAAGACCCCAGCUCUCUGUGGGUGUUGAUAAUGUCUGACCCUGUCUAAAGACCCCAGCUCUCUGUGGGUGUUGAUAAUGUCUGACCCUGUCUAAAGACCCCAGCUCUCUGUGGGUGUUGAUAAUGUCUGACCCUGUCUAAAGACCCCAGCUCUCUGUGGGUGUUGAUAAUGUCUGACCCUGUCUAAAGACCCCAGCUCUCUGUGGGUGUUGAUAAUGUCUGACCCUGUCUAAAGACCCCAGCUCUCUGUGGGUGUUGAUAAUGUCUGACCCUGUCUAAAGACUCCAGCUCUCUGUGGGUGUUGAUAAUGUCUGACCCUGUCUAAAGACCCCAGCUCUCUGUGGGUGUUGAUAAUGUCUGACCCUGUCUAAAGACCCCAGCUCUCUGUGGGUGUUGAUAAUGUCUGACCCUGUCUAAAGACUCCAGCUCUCUGUGGGCAUUGAUAAUGUCUGACCCUGUCUAAAGACCCCAGCUCUCUGUGGGUGUUGAUAAUGUCUGACCCUGUCUAAAGACCCCAGCUCUCUGUGGGUGUUGAUAAUGUCUGACCCUGUCUAAAGACCCCAGCUCUCUGUGGGCAUUGAUAAUGUCUGACCCUGUCUAAAGACCCCAGCUCUCUGUGGGUGUUGAUAAUGUCUGACCCUGUCUAAAGACUCCAGCUCUCUGUGGGUGUUGAUAAUGUCUGACCCUGUCUAAAGACCCCAGCUCUCUGUGGGUGUUGAUCAUGUCUGACCCUGUCUAAAGACCCCAGCUCUCUGUGGGUGUUGAUAAUGUCUGACCCUGUCUAAAGACCCCAGCUCUCUGUGGUGUUGAUAAUGUCUGACCCUGUCUAAAGACCCCAGCUCUCUGUGGGUGUUGAUAAUGUCUGACCCUGUCUAAAGACCCCAGCUCUCUGUGGGUGUUGAUAAUGUCUGACCCUGUCUAAAGACCCCAGCUCUCUGUGGGUGUUGAUAAUGUCUGACCCUGUCUAAAGACCCCAGCUCUCUGUGGGUGUUGAUAAUGUCUGACCCUGUCUAAAGACCCCAGCUCUCUGUGGGUGUUGAUAAUGUCUGACCCUGUCUAAAGACCCCAGCUCUCUGUGGGUGUUGAUAAUGUCUGACCCUAUCUAAAGACCCCAGCUCUCUGUGGGUGUUGAUAAUGUCUGACCCUGUCUAAAGACCCCAGCUCUCUGUGGGUGUUGAUAAUGUCUGACCCUGUCUAAAGACCCCAGCUCUCUGUGGGUGUUGAUAAUGUCUGACCCUGUCUAAAGACCCCAGCUCUCUGUGGGUGUUGAUAAUGU